CACGUAGGGGGCGAGCGUUGUCCGGAUUUAUUGGGCGUAAAGAGCUCGUAGGCGGCUCCGUAAGUGAGGUGUGAAAACUCCAGGCUCAACCUGGAGACGCCACCUCAUACUGCGGUGGCUAGAGUCCGGUAGGGGAGCAUGGAAUUCCUGGUGCAGCGGUGAAAUGCGCAGAUAUCAGGAGGAACACCAGUGGCGAAGGCGGCUUCCUGGCCUGUUCUUGACGCUGAGGCGCGAAAGCUAGGGGAGCAAACGGG
rnacentral:rRNA from 1 species